rnacentral:siRNA from 1 species
CUUCUAUCAUACCUUAUUUGCUCC